UACAGAGGGUGCGAGCGUUAAUCGGAAUUAUUGGGCGUAAAGAGCUCGUAGGCGGUGUGUCGCGUCGGCCGUGAAAACCUGCAGCUUAACUGUGGGCUUGCGGUCGAUACGGGCACCACUGGAGUUCGGCAGGGGAGACUGGAAUUCCUGGUGUAGCGGUGAAAUGCGCAGAUAUCAGGAGGAACACCGGUGGCGAAGGCGGGUCUCUGGGCCGAUACUGACGCUGAGGAGCGAAAGCGUGGGGAGCGAACAGG
rnacentral:rRNA from 1 species